GAUGAACGCUAGCGACAGGCCUAACACAUGCAAGUCGAGGGGCAGCAUUUCUAGCUUGCUAGAAGAUGGCGACCGGCGCACGGGUGAGUAACGCGUAUGCAACCUUACCUUUUACUGGGGGAUAGCCCAAAGGAAUUUGGAUUAAUACCGCAUAAUAUGAUUGAUUCGCAUGGAUUGAUUAUUAAAUCUUCGGAAGGUAAAAGAUGGGCAUGCGUAGCAUUAGUUAGUUGGUGAGGUAAUGGCUCACCAAGACGAUGAUGCUUAGGGGGUCUGAGAGGACAGUCCCCCACACUGGUACUGAGACACGGACCAG
rnacentral:rRNA from 1 species